GGCAGUGGCUCAGCACAGUACAAGGCCAUCAUGCACGAGCCCUGAGCACCCAACAGUAGCUGAUCACAACAUAGCUUCACCCCUCUAAGCAAAACCUCUUCCGAAAGCCGCGCCAGCUCUCUGCAGCUACUUAUAACUAUCCAGGCCUGCUUUCCCAAGCCAAUCCGGCACGAGCAGGUCAGGAGCGGGUGGACCUUGCCCAGACCUCCCAGGUGAGAGUGAUGGAUCAGAGCUGUUCUAGCAACACACAGCCGCCGUCCAGGAGGCUUUCCGCUGGGCCGCCUCCUCUUGAAGAAACACAAACGGAGGCCGAGUGAGAAG